rfam:Camelus ferus unplaced genomic scaffold scaffold1749, whole genome shotgun sequence.
GAGGGUAUAGCUCAGUGGUAGAGUACCAGCUUAGCAUGUACAAGGUCCUGAGUUCAAUCCCCAGUAUCUCCA